UACGUAGGGGGCAAGCGUUGUCCGGAUUUACUGGGCGUAAAGAGCGUGUAGGCGGCCACGCAGGUCCGUUGUGAAAACUGGAGGCUCAACCUCCAGCUGUCGACGGAAACCGUGUGGCUAGAGUCCGGAAGAGGAGAGUGGAAUUCCUGGUGUAGCGGUGAAAUGCGCAGAUAUCAGGAAGAACACCAAUGGCGAAGGCAGCUCUCUGGGACGGUACUGGCGCUGAGACGCGAAAGCGUGGGGAGCGAACAGG
rnacentral:rRNA from 1 species